CAGCCGCCGCGGUAAUACAGAGGGUGCGAGCGUUAAUCGGAUUUACUGGGCGUAAAGCGUGCGUAGGCGGCUUUUUAAGUCGGAUGUGAAAUCCCUGAGCUUAACUUAGGAAUUGCAUUCGAUACUGGGAAGCUAGAGUAUGGGAGAGGAUGGUAGAAUUCCAGGUGUAGCGGUGAAAUGCGUAGAGAUCUGGAGGAAUACCGAUGGCGAAGGCAGCCAUCUGGCCUAAUACUGACGCUGAGGUACGAAAGCAUGGGGAGCAAACAGGAUUAGAUACCCCAGUAGUCCCUGUCUCUUAUAU
rnacentral:rRNA from 1 species